rnacentral:rRNA from 1 species
UACGUAGGGUGCAAGCGUUGUCCGGAAUUAUUGGGCGUAAAGAGCUCGUAGGCGGUCUGUCGCGUCGGAUGUGAAAACCCAGGGCUCAACCCUGGGCCUGCAUUCGAUACGGGCAGACUAGAGUUCGGUAGGGGAGACUGGAAUUCCUGGUGUAGCGGUGAAAUGCGCAGAUAUCAGGAGGAACACCGGUGGCGAAGGCGGGUCGCUGGGCCGACACUGACGCUGAUGCGCGAAAGCCAGGGGAGCGAACGGG